rnacentral:rRNA from 1 species
GUUUGAUCCUGGCUCAGAACGAACGCUGGCGGCGUGCUUAACACAUGCAAGUCGCGCGAGAAAGGGGCUUCGGCUCCGAGUAAAGCGGCGCACGGGUGCGUAACACGUGGAUAAUCUGCCUUCAGGGCCGGGAUAACCUUCCGAAAGGAGGGCUAAUACCGGAUGAGCCCACGGGACCCUCGGGUCCUGGGGGAAAAGCUGGCCUCUGCAAGCAAGCUAGUGCCUGAAGAUGAGUCCGCGGCCCAUCAGCUAGUUGGCGGGGUAAUGGCCCACCAAGGCAACGACGGGUAGCUGGUCUGAGAGGACGAUCAGCCACACUGGAACUGAGACACGGUCCAGACUCCUACGGGAGGCAGCAGUGGGGAAUCUUGCGCAAUGGGCGAAAGCCUGACGCAGCAACGCCGCGUGAGUGAUGAAGGUCUUCGGAUCGUAAAGCUCUUUCGGCAGGGAAGAACGGCUUCCGGGUGAACAAUCCGGGGGCGUGACGGUACCUGCAGAAGAAGCACCGGCUAACUCUGUGCCAGCAGCCGCGGUAAUACAGAGGGUGCAAGCGUUGUUCGGAAUUAUUGGGCGUAAAGCGCGUGUAGGCGGGAUGGCAAGUCGGGUGUGAAAGCCCUCAGCUCAACUGAGGAAGUGCGCCCGAAACUACCGUUCUUGAGUGCCAGAGAGGGUGGCGGAAUUCCCGGUGUAGAGGUGAAAUUCGUAGAUAUCGGGAGGAACACCAGUGGCGAAGGCGGCCACCUGGAUGGACACUGACGCUGAGACGCGAAAGCGUGGGGAGCAAACAGGAUUAGAUACCCUGGUAGUCCACGCCGUAAACGAUGAGUGCUAGGUGUUGUGGGUGUUGACCCCCGCAGUGCCGCAGCUAACGCAUUAAGCA